CAGGAUGAACGCUAGCUACAGGCUUAACACAUGCAAGUCGAGGGGCAGCAUGAUCGAAGCUUGCUUUGAUUGAUGGCGACCGGCGCACGGGUGAGUAACGCGUAUCCAACCUUCCCUGUAGUAGAGAAUAGCCCGGCGAAAGUCGGAUUAAUGCUCUAUGUUGUAUUUCGAUGACAUCUGAAGAAUACCAAAGGUUUACCGCUAUAGGAUGGGGAUGCGUCUGAUUAGGUUGUUGGCGGGUAACGGCCCACCAAGCCGACGAUCAGUAGGGGUUCUGAGAGGAAGGUCCCCCACAUUGGAACUGAGACACGGUCCAAACUCCUACGGGAGGCAGCAGUGAGGAAUAUUGGUCAAUGGACGGAAGUCUGAACCAGCCAAGUAGCCGUGCAGGAUGACGGCCCUAUGGGUUGUAAACUGCUUUUAUAUAGGGAUAAAGUCGGGGACGUGUCCCCGUUUGUAGGUACUAUAUGAAUAAGGACCGGCUAAUUCCGUGCCAGCCGCAGC
rnacentral:rRNA from 1 species